rnacentral:sRNA from 1 species
UAGCGUCUGCAGAGGGCAGGGCAGGGAUCUUUAUCAAGGCUUCGCAGACAGCCGACACCCUGUAUGGUCCGGUACAUUCAUCCGGAGGAUGAAUUUAAUUCCUUCU